UACGUAGGGGGCAAGCGUUGUCCGGAUUUAUUGGGCGUAAAAGGGCCCGUAGGCGGUUUGGUAAGUUCGGGUGUCAAAACUCCAGGCUCAACCUGGAGCGGCCAUCCGAUACUGCCAUGACUUGAGGUCUGGUAGGGGAGUGCGGAAUUCCUGGUGUAGCGGUGAAAUGACGCAGAGUAUACAGGAGGAACACCGGUGGCGAAGGCGGCACUCUGGGCCAGUACUGACGCUGGAUGGGCGAAAGCGUGGGGAGCAAACAGG
rnacentral:rRNA from 1 species